rfam:Sporosarcina psychrophila strain DSM 6497, complete genome.
UGGGAAUAAAAUAGAAGAUAUCGUAUAAAACCGAGGAUAUGGCUCGGAAGUUUCUACCGGGACACCUUAAAUUUCCCGACUACGAUUCAAAUAGAAGGGGGA